rnacentral:rRNA from 1 species
GAAAAGAAACUAACAAGGAUUCCCCUAGUAGCGGCGAGCGAAGCGGGAAAAGCCCGGGAUGAAAAUCUCUUUGGAGAAUUGUAGUCUGAGCUCCCUUGGGCGGUCAGUGUGGGUAAAUCGUCUGGGAUGACGUGCCAUGGAGGGUGAGAGCCCCGUCCACCCCACACAGGACCCGCCCGCACGAGGGCGCUUCAACCGAGUCGGGUAGCUUGGGAAUGCUGCUCCAAUUGGUGGUAAAUCUCAUCAAAGGCUAAAUAACGGUGGGAGACCGAUAGCGAACAAGUACCGUGAGGGAAAGAUGGAAAGAACUUUGAAAAGAGAGUGAAAAGCGCUUGAAACCGUCACGGGGGAAGCGGAUUGCGUGAGUGAUGGUGUGCACUGUUCAGCUCAAAAUGUGGAGUGUAUUCUGUGCGCGCCGGGCGUGUGUGGCUGGGGUGCGUGUGACUUUGGCACGCGUUCCUGGUGAGGGCUCCCUGCCUGUCAGGUGAGGACACACGCGAAAUGACGCAAUACGACCCGUCUUGAAACACGGACCAAGGAGUCUAGCACGGCUGCGAGUCGAAGGGUGUUAAAACCCAGAGGGCGCAGUGAAAGCGAAAGAAAGCAAAUUGGGGAGGCGUUGCGGUUUUACCAAAAUGUCCUACCUCGAGCACCUGUGCUGGGACCCGAAAGAUGGUGAACUAUGCCGGAGUAGGGCAAAGCCAGAGGAAACUCUGGUGGAGGCUCGUAGCGAUGCUGACGUGCAAAUCGCUCGUCGAACUUGGGUAUAGGGGCGAAAGACUAAUCGAACCAUCUAGUAGCUGGUUCCCUCCGAAGUUUCUCUCAGGAUAGCGGGCCGACGACAUGUUGUUUUGUGCGGUAAAGCGAAUGAUUAGUGCAUUUGGGGGCCGAAGGCCUUCAGGCGAUUCUCAAACUUUAAAUGCGCAAGGGGGCGGCUGCUUAAUUGAGCCUGCUCUUUGAAAAACGUCGGCCCUGUGGGCCACUUUUGGUAAGCAGAACUGGCGAUAAGGGAUGAACCUUAAGCGCGGUUAAGGCGCCGCAUUGCCCGCUUAUAGACCCCACAAAAGGUGUUGAUUCAUCCAGACAGCAGGACGGUGGCCAUGGAAGUCGGAAUCCGCUAAGGAGUGUGUAACAACUCACCUGCCGAAUGAAUUAGCCCUGAAAAUGGAUGGCGCUGAAGCGGGCAGCCGACACCGCGCCGUUCGGGCGAGACGAUGCCCGGAUGAGUAGGAGGGCGUGGCGGUCAGUGACGCAGGCGUGGGUGCAGACCCCGCUGAAACGGCCGCUAGUGCAGAUCUUGGUGGUAGUAGCAAAUAUUCAAGCGAGAUCCUUGAAGGGCGAAGCGGGGAAGGGUUCCACGCGAACAUUGAUUGGGCGUGGGUGAGUC